AGGAUAAACGCUGGCGGCGUGCCUAACACAUGCAAGUCGAACGCGCUUACUAUCCGCGAGGAGGGUGAGCGAGUGGCGGACGGGUGAGGAACACGUGGGUGACCUACCUUUCAGUGAGGGAUACCGGCGAGAAAUUGCCGACAAGACCGCAUACGCUUCUCUUUUCAAGGGGAGAAGGAAAGCUUUUCGCAAGAGAGGCGCUGGGAGAUGGGCCUGCGGCCGAUUAGCUAGCUGGUGGGGUAAUGGCCUACCAGGGCGACGAUCGGUAGCUGGUCUGAGAGGACGAUCAGCCACACUGGGAUUGAGAACGGCCCAGACUCCUACGGGGGGCAGCAGUGAGGAAUUUUCGGCAAUGGGGCAACCCUGACCGAGCAACGCCGCGUGCAGGACGACGGCCUUCGGGUUGUAAACUGCUUUUCUCUGGGACGAGCAAGGACGGUACCAGAGGAAGAACGCCCGGCUAACUACGUGCCAGCAGCCGCGGU
rnacentral:rRNA from 1 species